AUAAGCUUUAAAUUUAAAGAAUUUGGCGGUGGUUUAGUCCCGUUAGAGGAACCUGUUUCUUAAUCGAUACUCCUCGUAUAAUCUUACUUAAGCUUGUAAUCAGCAUGUAUACCAUCAUUAUUAGAUAAUUCUUAUAGGAUAAUUAUUAAAUAGGCCGAUAAUGUUGAAUAUAUUAGAUCAAGGUGCAGCUAAUGCUUAAGUGUAAAUGGGUUACAAUAAAAUUUAUUUUAUAUGGAUUACUAAAAGAAUAUUUAGUAUAAAAGUGGAUUUAAUUGUAAAAAAAGUUUAAUAUGCUUUUUUUAUAUAGGCUCUAAGCCGUGUACACAUCGCCC
rnacentral:rRNA from 1 species